CCUACGGGUGGCUGCAGUGGGGGAUAUUGCACAAUGGGGGAAACCCUGAUGCAGCGACGCCGCGUGAGUGAAGAAGUAUUUCGGUAUGUAAACCUCUAUCAGCAGGGAAGAAAAUGACAGUACCUUACCAAUAAGCCCCGGCUAACUACGUGCCAGCAGCCGCGGUAAUACGUAGGGGCCAAGCGUUAUCCGGAUUUACUGGGUGUACAGGGAGCGUAGACGGUUAUGUAAGUCUGGAGUGAAAGCCCCGGGCCCAACCCCGGGACUGCUUUGGAAACUGUGUAACUGGAGUACAGGAGGGGCAGGCGGAAUGCUUGGUGUAGGGGUGAAAUGCGUAGAGAUCAGGAGGAACACCGGCGGCGAAGGCGGCCUGCUGGACUGAAACUGACGUUGAGGCUCGAAAGCGUGGGGAGCAAACAGGAUUAGAUACCCGGGUAGUC
rnacentral:rRNA from 1 species